UAGCAUAUGACGAAUUGCUCGGAUUCCCCUUCAAGACUUCUUGAAUGAUGCACAACCCGAGUUUCUGAUGCU
rfam:Cucumis melo, WGS project CAJI01000000 data, contig: 04696